GUGUCAGCUGUUAUGACAUAUUAUGUAAUGGUUAAGACCGUGUCAUAAAGUGCUAUGAUGCUGGAUGUCAAGUAAAGUGUUACCCAAAUUGUACUGGGUCUAGGGUGUCAGGUACUUACUGACUUUAUUGUCCCCAUGGGGAAAUUUUGUUGCAGUGUCAUGUACACAUUUAAAGUGGCUUUAAAUACAAAACAAACUGACAAUGCAACUUUCAUAACAGUUACAUACCAAUAAAAAGAUACUAGCCUGCUGGUCGGUAGGAACAUUAGCCUGAGCUAUUUAGGAGGGAUAUCACACCUGGCACAAAUUAUUGUCUAGUUCUGUUUUUCCUGCAGAGGGGUGCCCUAUACCUGCGCCCAGAGGUGAGUAGUUCAAAGUCCGGUUACAGGGGGUGGCUUGGGUCUAAAAUGUUUUUGCCUUGCGGUGGGCCCUGACCUUAAAGAUCUCAUCCAGGCCUGUCUGUUUGACUCCAAGUACCUUGCUUGCUGUGGUGAUAAUCCUUCUCAGCAUAUUUCUCUGGCUGACAGUGGUAUUGCCAAACCAACAAACAAUACAAAAAGUUAAAAUACUCUCAAUGAAAGAUUUGUAAAACAGAGUCAGUAUGGUACAGUCAACAUUAAAAGAUCCCAGCUUUUUGAGAAAGUACAGUCUCUGUUGACUCUUUUUGUAGAUCAGAUCUGUACAUUUACACCACUGAAACUUGUCCAAGGGGACACCCAGAUAUUUGUAUUCCCCUACAAUCUCUAUGUUCUGACCUCUGAUAGAUGUUGCAGAGGUAGGUGUUGUACGCUUUCUGAAAUCUAUGCACAUCUCUUUGGUAUUAGUGGUAUUGAAGACAAAGUGUGAUUCGUCACAACACUCUACAAAGUCAUUUAGGACCCGGCCAUGGUGUUCCUCGUUAUCAUGCAACAGGCUGAUCAAGGCAGUGUCAUCAGCAAACUUAACGAGGUGUCUGUCAGGAUGGGAACUAGUACAACUAUUAGUGUACAAGAUGUACAGGAGUGGGGACAAAACAGAUCCCUGAGGAGAGCCUGAGUUGGUGCGCAUGUCUGCCACGUGGGGACCUACUUUGACCCGCUGUGAUCGCUGGCUCAGGAUGUCCAACAACCACAAGUCCAUCUAAGGAGAAGUCCUAAAUGAGUCUCUGUGCCAGAAUGUAAGGCUGGAUUGUGUUGAAGGCAGAAGAAGGUGGAGGUGAUAUGAUCCAUAACUAACCUCUCAAAGCACUUCAUGAUGACAGAAGUGAGUCCUUGUGUUUUAAACUGUGAUUUUGUCUAUUAAGAGAGCGUGGCCAGUUUUAUGAUCGUAACACUUUAGUCUGUUAAGACCUUUCAUAUUGAUUGAAUAUUGUGUUGUUUGCUGUGUUGCACUGAAAAUAAGUUUGCUGUAAUUACACUUAAUAUUUGUUGUGUUUUGUUUACAGGCCUUUGUAGAACUGUACAAAUUCAAGUUGUAAUAAAAUCUAUAAAUGUUGUGAUAAUCCUGUGUUGCUUCCAUACCAGUAUCCAGUUGAGGUAUUUAUGACCCAGGCCUAUCCUAGAACAUGUUUGUUAUAAAUCUACCAAUAGUAGGCCUAUAUCUGCUCUUUUACUUGUAGCGUACAUUGGACUUUCAAGUGGAGUUGAUUGCCUUAAGGACAUAAGCAGGGUUUGGGUCAAUACCAAUUUAAUUUGAAAUUCCAAUUCAAUUCUUGAAUUCACUCAUAAAGUGGAGAAUUUACAUUGAAUUCAAUUUGAAUUCCAACAAUCUUCAAGUUAUGGAAUUGGAAUUGGAUUUAGACUAUUUGCACUGAUGGAACUGGAAUUAUAAAAACAUUUGAUCUUUGGAAUUGAAUUGGAUUUCAAGUCAAUAUUUGUAAAUUUCCCAGUUAAUGGAAUUAAUGCACUUAGUAUCAAACAUUUACUGAAGGAGGUGUUUUAAAUAAUGUAUAUUUCCAUUACAGUAAGACUGUCUGAACAGUGACAUAAUCAGCCUGAAAGCCUGAGGGAAUUUAAGUUGUGGAAUUGUUUUGGAUAAUAUUUAAUUGUGAAUUGAAUUAUUGAAAUGUAGUUACCUUGGAAUUGAGAGGGAUUAAAUUAUCUCUGAAUUCAAAGGCUGACCUGGAAUUUGAAUUGAAUUUCAUGGAAUUCACAGAGGGAAUUGAACUAGAAUUGAAUUAGUGGAAUUAACCCCAACCCUUGAUAUAGCUGACAUUUAGGUGUUAGUAUUUAAUCAAUUAAUGAUCAAUAACAGAUAAUCUUCAUUACAUGAAUUAAUGUGUAAUUGCAGUUUUAGCACAAAACGUGAAAAUCAGGAUGAGUCUCUGUCCUUUAAUUAAUAUGCUAUCAAAACUUGCUUCGUGACCCAUAUUUCUACAAGCAUUACCCUAAUAUAAUCAUAUGUAUCUGUUAUCCCUUUGACUCCUAGUCAACCAAACAAUUUCACUGUAAAACUUCCAGCAACUUCAACUUCAACCAGGUAGCCAGGCGGUUAAGCGCGUUGGAACAGUAAACGAAAGGUAGCUGGUGGAAAAAUCUGCAUUUCCGCGCUUGAGCAAGGCAUUAACCCCAAACAUCUGUUCCCAGGACCCCCGAUGACUUGGACGUCGAUAAAGCGUCGAGUUCGAAUUAAUACAAUGCAUCACGUCCCCUAAUUUAGAUGUCAGAUGAUGAGCUAUGCAUGUACCAUGCGAAGGGCCUCGAGCAGUCGAGAACAGCUACAACAUUUGGCAUUUCGUAGAGUGAACAAACCUCCGCUGCUACUGCUCUUGGAUGCAGCCCCGUUGAGAACCUGCGUGUUGCUUAGCAACAAUGUGACACGGUAGUUUACGCAACCAUUCAAGGCGGAAUAGAAUCUUAUGGGACAUUAUUGUAUUUUAUGUAGCUGCUAGCUAGCUAGUCAGAAAAUAAACUUUGUUGAACAUUUCGCAGGAUAUAUUGUUGACGGUAAAAGUAGCUGUGGUAGCUACAGUAGCGUCUGAGGACGUUAACAUGUAAAAAAGAAAAGAAAAAGAAAACGAGGAUAUAUCCAUUCUGGGAACAAGUAAAUUUAUAGCCAACUUAACUCUCUCCAGUCCAGGCUAAAUUAAUCACGCUUUUACCUUCCUUUAUGCCACAUGACACACACCUAGCCAGCUAAAAUGACAUUUUGCCAUUAGUUUACACAGUGGCAAGAUGUAGUAGGUACCAAAUAAGUGAUUUAAUUUCACUAACAUACUGCUACUGCCUUAAAUUGAACCACUUAGAUUUCCAUCCAGGGAAGGGGGGCCUAGUUUACUAGGUUUUAAUUAUAUUUUGCACGAAAUACCCCUCCCCACGCACACAUACCUGAACACUUGAAAAGCAGUUGAAACAGAACAGAGAUAGGUGGUAGCAUUUUUCUACUAUGGUUAUACUCAUCACACGUUGACUUGCACCCAGACAAUGAGACAGGUUGGCACAACACCACCGGUGUAAUGUACCGUAUCAAAUUACAGACCAUGACAAAAGGUCCAGGAACUCCACAAUACUUCUGAGCUAAUAUUCUGCGGUGCAUCCCAACAAGUAGAUCAUUUGAUGUGUCAAUACUCAGUUCCGAUCAGGCAGAUCUUCAAGCAGUGUGCCCCAGCAGACGUCACAGUUGUGCCCUGGUUAACACCCCCUCACUGUGUGCCAACAAAGCUGUUUGCCAUAUUCAGGAGCUGAAGAGGCAACUGGAGAACUGGUGUCAACAGUCAGGAAAUGUUCAGCAUCAGAUGUCUCAUGAAAAACAGCAAAAUAGCAAAACUUUUAGAAGCUGAUCGCCAGGAUGCAGAGGAAGCUCUACAAACAGAGAAGAAGAGGAGGUGAACUUUUGGGAGAAAAAUGAAUACUAUUUCACUGUGGAAGCAGCCGUCCAGAAAGAUUGUAGAGUUGAAAAUAUGAAUCGAGGUAGAAGGUAGAACAUUUUCACAAUUAAAGGAAGGGAUUUCAGAGCUGCAGAAAGAAGUCCAUGCAACUAGACUUGCAGGUGAAGUGGCAGUCUCUCACACCGAGGAGGUGUUCCGUAAAAGAAACAUCAGGAUACCUUGAAUCUUCAUGAGGAAAACAAAGAGUAUGAACUGGAGAUUGAGGACUACAGCAAAAAUAUCUAUGAGAGCGAAGCAGCUUCAGAGGAGCAGGAAGCACAUGCAGCAGAAGUUCAGUGUGAACGAGGACCAGAGACAGAGGCUAAGGAGGAGCUGUCCCAGAUGGCUAUGUUGCACGCCAAGGUCAACUUGGAGGAGCUGGAGCAGAAGACCUUCAUGGUGGAGCAGAGGAUGAGAUAUCUCCUCAGAAAGUGACUGAGAAUCUGAAGAAAGACGAGCGAGUUGAAAGCCCUGGCCAUUCUGAAGGAUAAAAUAACAACUAUUGAAGCAGAAUUACACCAGGAGCAAACCAACACAGAAAACGCCAGAUGGGAACUUCAUAAGGAAUUUGAGGAGGCGUUAUCAGCUACAAAACAACUGGAAAUUGAAACGGAAAAACUGAGAAAGAUUUACAAUGAUAAAUCUGAAGGAAUUACAUCAAGCUGUUACCGAAGGGUUUAACCAUGCCUUGAGUAGAAUCAUCGCAGACCUCUGUGCUAAGUCCAAAGAGUACAGAACAGGGUCUGACAUGGAGAAAACCACAGCCGCUAUGCCAGAUGUCAUUGAAGAACUACAGUUCGUCUUUGAUGCCGUGGAGUUCCAAAACCAAACAGCUAUGUUGAUCAUGAACACCUUGGAACGUGAUAUCACCAACUGUCAACAACGGAUGGAGCCAACAGUGGAAACUCAUACUACUCUGUUCGCAACCAGACAGCAGAAAAAACCAAGCUUUCUUUGUUGCAGAAGAGGAUGCACAGAGCUGUGGUGAAAUACUUCAGACAACGCAGCCUCUACAGCCUGGAUGAACUGGCCCGCUUCCAGAACCUCUCUAACGAGAACAACCAGAAAAUAAUAACCAUCCAGGAGGAGUUGUCAGAAGCAAUCCAGCGCAUCUCUGCUUUCCUGUAGUCAGUGGCAGAUGACUCAACUACAGCAACAGUGAUCAUGCUGCGACAAUAGAGACAGCAGCAGAGAACAAACAAGCGGGUCCGGAUGCCAUUGGAUUGAACAAGAAGAAGAUGCCUACAGUUCAGAUAACAGCGUAAUUGGACAUUCACCUGGUCCCAGACAACUUACUUACCCCUGUACGCUUCACUAACUCACUAUGCCCCCUCUCUCUCUCUUACCAGCAGCAGAUCCAUAACAAUGAAACAGGUGACUUUCAUGCUGCUGUCAGGACUGAUCUAAUUUUAGCUGGGUGAAUGAUUGCAAUUGGCUUUGCCUCAUCAGAUAAUUAAUCUAUGUCACCAUUAAUUGGAAAAGAGAAUAAUUACAGGCAGUGUUGACAGAAACUCUACGCUUCUCCAGAUUUCGAGAUCUAAUUACGACUACUAAAACCCUCCGUGACCUUAACUAGCACUUAGUACAUCACCUCGACCACCCUGACCAAUGCCGAAGCAAAACAACUUCCUCUCGGUAGACAUUAAGCCCUGUUUUUGUUGUUUAAUUUUUUUUCUCCCUCUCUCUUUUCUCUCUCACUGUGCUCUCCUAGAAAGCUGUCUCCCUCAAUCACUUUUCAAUGUUCAAUCUUAAUUUUGUGGAAGUUUAGCAUUUUCAAUGAGCUGGAUAUGAAUGAUUAAUGAAUACAUUUAAAUGCUUCAUUUUGUCCAUGGAUCAUUAGUUAAGUCCUUUGUGUGAAGGACCUGAGAAAGGAGUCAAAAUUAUUGAGACAUUAGCCUGGAGCAAUCUAGGGGUAAAUAGUGUGCACAUUAUAAAAUAAUGUUGUGUAGCGGGUGCAGUAUCCUACUGGCUUUCUAACUGAAGAACCCCCAGGUAACGCUGCUUUCAAUUUAGGCUGAAUCUCACAUAGUAUUUAUUUGGAGGAGAAAAUGUAUUAUUUCAUCAAGCAUAGGCCUACUAAUGAUGUG
rnacentral:lncRNA from 1 species